CAGUAGCCACGGUAAUACGGAGGGUGCAAGCGUUAAUCGGAAUUACUGGGCGUAAAGCGCACGCAGGCGGUUUGUUAAGUCAGAUGUGAAAUCCCCGAGCUUAACUUGGGAACUGCAUUUGAAACUGGCAAGCUAGAGUCUUGUAGAGGGGGGUAGAAUUCCAGGUGUAGCGGUGAAAUGCGUAGAGAUCUGGAGGAAUACCGGUGGCGAAGGCGGCCCCCUGGACAAAGACUGACGCUCAGGUGCGAAAGCGUGGGGAGCAAACAGGAUUAGAGACCCCUGUAGUCCCUGUCUCUUAUAC
rnacentral:rRNA from 1 species